rnacentral:tRNA from 1 species
GCCGAUGAUUGUCUGAUUCUGGCGUAUUGGAUUUGUAAUCAGUAGGUCCACGGUUCGAAUCCGUGCGUCGGCUCCA